UUGCCUUGCAGUGUCUGGCAGCACUGUGUUCCUGUUAGAGCCACCAGCACAAGCACCAGACGAUGCUGAUCCAGGUGAAAGCCCCAGUGCAGCAGCAACAGCACAUGAUGGAGACGAUGAUGAGGAGGAGACCAUCUCUCUGGAUUCCAGAAGGCAUGAGGACCCAGAUGCUAUACAGUGGGAAAACCAGCCUGGCAACAUAGUGCGUAUUAAUAAAAGGACACCACAUCCUGCCAAAUUCCAGCUGCGCUAAUUGUAUUGUGUUCACAGAGCUCACAAGCUAUCAGAAAGAAGUAUGGCAACCACCUCCGGCGCCAAAUAGAACUGGCAGACAUAGACAUUCAGUACAAGAAGAAAAAGAUGGAAAAUCUUGCACUGGAGUCCGAAAUAAAAAACAGGACAAUUAGGAAACUGGACCUUGAAAUAAAAAAACUUGAGAGGGAGCUCCAAGAAGAUGACACAGCUCAAAAUAAAAAUUAGCAAUCAGUACAACCAAGUCAUCGUUAUAAGGCACCGGCCUCUUUUGCCCACCCCCAAGCACCAGGUGUGGCCACUAGCCUAUAUGAAGGCCCAAAAUUGUGUGUUCCUUUCUGCUCUGACAAUGGCAUGCCCAUUCUUGCGAGAUGUGGUGGAUGAAGAAGCACUUGUGCUGAGGAGAGCCUUCAGGCGAGAAAGGGUCUUCAGGGACCGGUUGGACCCACUGGCCUUCCCUGAUGACCAUCUAUAUGAAAGAUACAGGUUUUCUGCAGAUGGCAUCAGGUAUCUAUGCAGACUACUGGGUCCCAGGAUUAAGCACCGCACUGCACGGAGCCAUGCACUGAGUGUGGAGCAAAUGGUUUGUGUGGCCUUGCGCUUUUUUGCUAGUGGAGCCUU